rnacentral:lncRNA from 1 species
GCAACACAAAACAUUUCCUUGUAACCUCUUCAAACUUCUUUAUAGUGCCUUAAAAAAAGUUAUCCAAGGCAGAUCUUGCAAGAAUAGGAGAGAAAGGAUUCAAAACUCUAGAAGCGUUCCACAGAAACUGGGCGAGGCCUAAUCAACAAAAACCUUAUGUUCCAAAAGAAUGUAAUCAGGCUUGUCUUUCGUGUGCGAACCAUGUCAGGUUCACGAAAAACCAGAUGAGAAUAUGAUCACACGGUGUUGCAGUUAUAUGAUAGAGGAAUAAUUAAGGAUUUUACUAAGAAAUCUCAUGCUAUAGCAUAAUAGCGUACUAUCUUCUGGACUAUGUUUACAUGCAAUAGGAUGUGUGUGCGUGUGUACAUAGUUAAGUAUGCCUCCUUUGUAUGAUACAAAUGUGGAGUCACUUGUGUAUAUAUUAGUCACACCGCAGUUUUACGCGUGUAGAUGAAAUCUUAACACUUUGUAUUAUGGAAUGAAUUGUUAUUAGCUUUAGUACUAAAUCAGUAAUCUUCAGCUCCUCCCCUCCCUCCCCUCCAACCAAUCCUGAUCAAAGCACGGUCUUUUAAGGCCAAAGCAGGGUGUUCGAGCCGGCUCAUUCCCCUUUUCUCAAAUAGAAAUGUCUCACUGAAGAACAAAAUUUCUAUUAAAUUUCAUCAUAUUCCACCAGGAAUUUGGCAUAUAGUGGAAUGUCAUUAGUACAAGAUGGUGAAAAGUCUUUUUCCA